CUCUCUCUCUACACAAAAAAAACUCAAUUCUCUCUCCCUUCUCUCUACAAUCAAACACUACUUUUAUAUCAUUUUCACCAAGAAUACUAUGAAGAUGCUCAAGAUCACAUAAUCAAAAAUUGCCAAAACACCACAAAAUCAAUCCUCUUCUUCUCCGAUUACCUCCGGCUAUCGAUUGACCACUGCGACCUCCUCCCUCAGCCGCAAUCUCCUAUACACCGAUCCGCUUACGUGGUCGUGACAUCGCCGACAAAUCUUGUCCGGCCGCUCCAUUCGCCAAUUUCGUUUCCGGCCGCCGCAACGUGACGUUUCCGGCGAUCUCCUAUCCCUCUCGCGCGAGACAUCCGCGAUUGCUUUCUCCAACCUUCUCUUCGUUCACGUUUCGGUAAUUCGUUAAACCUUAAUUACAAUUGAAUCUUGACUUACUUGAUUUUGUUUUAUGGAAAUUGAGUUGGUGUUGUUCUUGUGUCUAGAUUGAAAUACUUGAAUCAAUUUGAUGAUGGUGUUGUUUUGUUUGCUUAUGGAUGGAUGAUGAUGCUGAAAAUUAUUUGAGGUUUUGUUUUGAUGUUAAUUGAGUGAAUCAUUGUGGCAAUUGUGUUGUUCGUGUUUGUUGUAUAAUAGUAUAUUUAGAGAGCUAGUUGCAACAUUGAUUAAACGUUGUUGUUGCUGAAUUUUCCCAAAGCUUGGUGGUGAUAGAUGAGGCACAUAGCGCUUGGUUCAUUUUUUGUUGCUCAUGAGUGUUGUUAGCAGUACGUUUAAACGUGAUAGUUCUUGCAAAAUGGAAAUAAUGCUUGUGCUGAAUUUUUGAACAUGAAUAUAGCGUCAUGAGUCAAUAAUGAGGUUUGCGAUUAAUUGCUUAAAAUUCUUGAAGGUAAUUUUGAUGCUACUUGUUGUAUUAUGUAAUGGCAUGGUGAACCAAAUAAUCAUGAUUAUGGAUGUACAUUGAAAGCUAGAAUUUGGAAAUUAUUGGUGGUUGUCGUUAUUGCUUCUAUUCUUGAAUUUGAGUUUUAUGCAUAAUCAUUGAUUCUUGAAGGGUAAAGUUAUGUGAGAUAAACAUUGAUAAAUGGUGAUGAUUCUUAAAAUUAUGGACUGGUAUAGACAUGUUAAUUGGUGUAUGACACAAUAUUGAGAAUUGAAUGUGUUAUGCUUACUUGUAAAAUUGUUGAGAAUUUGACACUUGGUGCUUACUUGAAGCUAUGCUUUAUUCUAAUUUUCAACAUGUCAAUUAUAUGCUAUCUUGUGCAAAAUACCAUGAACCAUUUUCUUGUGUUUAGGUGUGUUUUUAAUGGACUUUUUGGGACUGUUUUAAAACUGUUUUAGUGCAGAAUUUUUGUUGGCAUUGGUUGUGUUGCAUUUCAUUUAGUUUGGCUCAUAAAAAAUAUGAAAAUAUAAGAGUAAUUGUUGUGCUUAUUGUUUAGUAAUUAAUGGUGGAUUCAAAUAGGUAAAAUGGGCUUUAUAUGAGUGCCAAUCAUUGAUAAAAUAUGCUGGAAUUUCUGAAUUGCAUUUGUUUUUUUUCCUCUUUUUCUCAAUUUUACAAAACGCACGCGAUACGUCGACUUUAAUUGGGAAUACCAUAUCUUUUGAUCCAAUUAGCAUUUUCGAGCAUGUGAAUAAUGUUUGUUGAGUGGAAUAAUGUUUUCAGAACUGUUCGAGCGCUUUAUUUUCGGUUUCGGCCGACUUUUUAUUAUCAAUUUUGCUUCUUCCCCGUCUAGAAAGUCGUGCCUUCAGGCCAAUUUAAUAAAUUUAGAUCAUGUUUUUGAGUUUCUUGACACGUUUUAUAGUAACUGUGUGAUUUUUUUUAAUUCCGAUGACUUUUAUUUUUUAGUGGUUUAUACCGUUUUCACUAGUAUCCGGGUUCAAUUGACAUGUGUAGUUUUGCUUCGAAUUUCAUUUGCAUUCAUAUCCUUUUAAUAUUUGCAUACUAUUUCAAUCAUGUUGGCUACUUAGGUUUGGUUUCGCUUAUUUCUUGAGUGUGCGUGGUUCCGUUACAUUAUUUUAUACCUUUCUUCAUAUUUUCAGUCUUGUCGCAACUUCGGGCUGCGUUUUUGUUAUCUAUGACAUAUUUGCUACUGUAUGCUAGGAAUAUUCGGGAGAUUCUUGUUUGGUGCGAGCCGCCUCGUGUUCCACUUUAUUUGUGGGACACGAUACUAUGAUAUUUGUCUGUAUGUAUUGUGUAUUCGUCUGCAGGUGUUGCACGAGGGUGCUGAUAUAUGACUCGAUGCGACGUGCGGUUUAUUUUCGCGAUGUCGCAGUGCUUUGAUAUUUUGAUUCUGCGGAUUCCUGAUGUUGCUUGUUGCUUGUGGACAGUUGUUACGCGAUAUUCCCAGAUUUCUCCGCUUACGCUUGCUAGCUCAUUGCGGAUUUUCUAUCCGUACGGGGGCUUCAGAUAUUUGACCGGUGCGACAUAGAGAGUCGACCAAUUCGAAGGCGGGAUGAAAUAGAUAUUCACCCAUCAUUUUUCUGUUAAAGGAAAAAUUAGAAUGAAUAUGUACAAACCAACUGGUUUAAUUAAUCUAAGAAUUACUAAUAAAAUGUUUUUUUUUAUUUUAA